UACGUAGGGGGCAAGCGUUGUCCGGAAUUACUGGGCGUAAAGCGCGUGUAGGCGGGACGGUUAGUCGGACGCGAAAGGCUGGGGCUCAACCCCAGAUCGCCGUUCGAAACUGCCGUUCUUGAGGGUCGAAGAGGAGGGUGGAAUUCCUGGUGUAGCGGUGAAAUGCGUAGAGAUCAGGAGGAACACCCAUGGCGAAGGCAGCUCUCUGGUCGACAUCUGACGCUGAGACGCGAAAGCGUGGGGAGCGAACGGG
rnacentral:rRNA from 1 species